UACGUAGGGUGCGAGCGUUAAUCGGAAUUACUGGGCGUAAAGUGUGCGCAGGCGGCGCCGCAAGUCGAGUGUGAAAGCCCCGGGCUUAACUUGGGAAUUGCGCUCGAAACUAUGGUGCUGGAGUGUGGCAGAGGAAGGUGGAAUUCCACGUGUAGCGGUGAAAUGCGCAGAUAUCAGGAGGAACACCGGUGGCGAAGGCGGGUCUCUGGGCCGAUACUGACGCUGAGGAGCGAAAGCGUGGGGAGCGAACAGG
rnacentral:rRNA from 1 species